rnacentral:rRNA from 1 species
UACAGAGGUCUCGAGCGUUAAUCGGAGUCACUGGGCUUAAAGGGUGCGUAGGCGGCGCUACAAGUUCCUUGUGAAAUCCCAUCGCUCAACGAUGGAAUUGCUUGGUAGACUGUAGCGCUUGAGGUUAGUAGGGGCUGCCGGAACUCUAGGUGGAGCGGUGAAAUGCGUAGAUAUCUAGAGGAACGCCAAAGGUGAAGACAGGCAGCUGGGCCGAUACUGACACUGAGGCACGAAAGCGUGGGGAGCAAACGGG